UCGAUUUUUUCGGUCCUCUGUUUCCUCCUUCCAAAAACUACUUAACCAAGUGAUGAUCCAGUGCGCUCGCCCAGUCGCCCUGCCGCUUGGUUCACCGCCAAUGUAUCUGGAACUCUUCCUUCCUCUCUUUCGAUUUUUUUGUUUGUAGUAAACGUUUUUAAUGUAGCUGUUUCUCUCUCUCAACGUGUUUUCCGUCUCGAAGAGCUUGCAAAUAUCUUCGUAGGAGGUGCUCACAUGAUUGCAUUCUCGCCUCUUAUUUCCCUUCAACCAAUCCAGAAAGAUUUGCUUGUGUUCACAAAAUCUUUGGAGCUAGUAACAUUACUAAGAUACUACAGCAACUACCAGUCCAUCAACGUGCUGUGGCAGCUGAUUGUAUGUUCUUUGAGGCAGGCUCAAGGGUCCGAGACCCAGUUUAUGGGUUUGUUGCAAUUAUAUCUCAAUUACAUCAACAAAUAAUCAUCACUCAACGUGAGCUUGCGGAGACACAGGGCCAAAUUGCCUUCUAUGGUGCACAACAAGUCCAAGGUCUAAAGCAGAAGACCGAGAGCCGAAUUCAGUACAAUGAAACCAUGUGUUUCAAUGCAAGCCAAUAAGACCCCCUUCACUUGGACCAGUCCAUGAUAGACCUUCAUCAAGCACCAAGUCUUCUUGGGGACUAUGGUGGUGCAGUUACUCUAGCAACUUUGAAAGAUUUUCAUAGGAGAAAGGUUCAGGUUUUAGCAGAAUCAGGUGCUGACCUAAUUGCAUUUGAAACAAUUCCGAAUAAGCUGGAAGCACAGGCCUAUGCUGAACUUCUCGAGAGAGAUGACAUAAAGAUUCCAGCAUGGUUUUCAUUCAACUCUAAGGAUGGUGUCAAUGUAGUUACUGGAGAUUCUUUUCUUGAAUGUGCAUCUGUUGCUGAUUCAUGUAAGAAGGUUGUUGGUUGGAAUUAACUGCACUCCUCCAAGGGUUGUUCAUGAUUUUGUUUUGUUAGUUCGUAAGGUGACAUCUAAACUGAUAAUUAUUUAUCCAAACAGUGGUGAGACUUAUGACCUUGAUCGCAAGGAGUGGGUAGUAAGUUCCCUCUUUACCUUUUCUAUUAAAUUCUUACAAGUUACAGUAUUUUUGAUUUGCAACACUCAAGAUAUUGGCUUGGGGGGACCAUUGAUGUUCUUUGAAUAGGACAUGAAUUGUGUUCCCCAUUCCACAAGUUCACACUUUGUUUUUUCUUAUUAUGUAAAACUGCCAUAUAACUGGACAAUUAAGUUGCAGCCUUUGUAUCUUUUAAUGUAUUUUGUCCAUUUGAUGGAUAGUACCUUUUGCAGUUUUACACAAGGGCCACCUAGGUUUUGACCUGUAAAAUUCACUCACUAAAAAAGAAAAACCAUUUUACUGUGUAGGCAAGAAAUUGAACCUUCUUGCCAAGUGUCCAACCUGGGUACCUACCCUCCUAUUGGUGUGAGGUUUGGGCUCAAAAUCCAGACAAUCUGGUCUACAAUCACUAUCAACACUUUUGGGCAAUAAGCUUUUCAAGUUGGGGUCCUGCUACGCAUACUUGGUCAUAUCCUUUGGGUAUUUUGAAAGAGAGUAAAUUUUAGUGCUUCAUUCAUUAAGUGCUUUGACAAAGAUAUCUCUUUUAAUGCUAUAUAACCCCUUCUACCCUAUGUUGCCUUCAUUUAUCAGCCAUGCAUUAUCAUCUGGUUCUGAAAAUGUGAAAUGAAGUAAACAUGUUGUUAAUUACUAGUCCUGAUCAUAUUGUGACAAAUUGGUUUAGAUGCUGGUUGAUGUAAUUAAUCACAUCUUAUUUGCCUUGCCGUUCUAAGAGAGAGAGAGAGAGAGAGAUGUAAAUAUACAUCAAGGCAAAAGUAGAAAAGGGCUGGAAUGUGAACUUUUCCUUGUGCUUGUUUUUUUUUUUUUGGUUGCUUGUAAUAAGUUAUCAGACUCUUGAUUAACUGUGAGGUUGGAAUUUUACAAAAAAAUUUCCCGGUCUUUGCUUUUU